rnacentral:tRNA from 1 species
GCCUGGGUGGCUCAGUGGGUUAAGCAUCUGACUUCGGCUCAGGUUACGAUUUUGCAGUUUGCAAGUUCAAGCCCUGCUUCUGGCU